GGUUAAGCGACUAAGCGUACACGGUGGAUGCCCUGGCAGUCAGAGGCGAUGAAGGACGUGCUAAUCUGCGAAAAGCGUCGGUAAGGUGAUAUGAACCGUUAUAGCCGGCGAUGUCCGAAUGGGGAAACCCAGUGCAAUUCGUUGCACUAUCGUUAACUGAAUACAUAGGUUAACGAGGCGAACCGGGGGAACUGAAACAUCUAAGUACCCCGAGGAAAAGAAAUCAACCGAGAUUCCCCCAGUAGCGGCGAGCGAACGGGGAGCAGCCCAGAGUCUGAAUCAGCUUGUGUGUUAGUGGAACGGUCUGGAAAGUCCGACGGUACAGGGUGAUAGUCCCGUACACCAAAAUGCACAGGCUGUGAACUCGAAGAGUAGGGCGGGACACGUGGUAUCCUGUCUGAAUAUGGGGGGACCAUCCUCCAAGGCUAAAUACUCCUGACUGACCGAUAGUGAACCAGUACCGUGAGGGAAAGGCGAAAAGAACCCCGGCGAGGGGAGUGAAAAAGAACCUGAAACCGUGUACGUACAAGCAGUGGGAGCACCUUCGGGUGUGACUGCGUACCUUUUGUAUAAUGGGUCAGCGACUUAUAUUCUGUAGCAAGGUUAACCGUAUAGGGGAGCCGCAGGGAAACCGAGUCUUAACUGGGCGUUAAGUUGCAGGGUAUAGACCCGAAACCCGGUGAUCUAGCCAUGGGCAGGUUGAAGGUUGGGUAACACUAACUGGAGGACCGAACCGACUAAUGUUGAAAAAUUAGCGGAUGACUUGUGGCUGGGGGUGAAAGGCCAAUCAAACCGGGAGAUAGCUGGUUCUCCCCGAAAGCUAUUUAGGUAGCGCCUCGUGAACUCAUCUUCGGGGGUAGAGCACUGUUUCGGCUAGGGGGUCAUCCCGACUUACCAACCCGAUGCAAACUACGAAUACCGAAGAAUGUUAUCACGGGAGACACACGGCGGGUGCUAACGUCCGUCGUGAAGAGGGAAACAACCCAGACCGCCAGCUAAGGUCCCAAAGUCAUGGUUAAGUGGGAAACGAUGUGGGAAGGCACAGACAGCCAGGAUGUUGGCUUAGAAGCAGCCAUCAUUUAAAGAAAGCGUAAUAGCUCACUGGUCGAGUCGGCCUGCGCGGAAGAUGUAACGGGGCUAAACCAUGCACCGAAGCUGCGGCAGCGACACUAUGUGUUGUUGGGUAGGGGAGCGUUCUGUAAGCCUGCGAAGGUGACCUGUGAGGGUUGCUGGAGGUAUCAGAAGUGCGAAUGCUGACAUAAGUAACGAUAAAGCGGGUGAAAAGCCCGCUCGCCGGAAGACCAAGGGUUCCUGUCCAACGUUAAUCGGGGCAGGGUGAGUCGACCCCUAAGGCGAGGCCGAAAGGCGUAGUCGAUGGGAAACAGGUUAAUAUUCCUGUACUUGGUGUUACUGCGAAGGGGGGACGGAGAAGGCUAUGUUAGCCGGGCGACGGUUGUCCCGGUUUAAGCAUGUAGGCUGGUUAUCCAGGCAAAUCCGGAUAAUCAAGGCUGAGGUGUGAUGACGAGGCACUACGGUGCUGAAGUAACAAAUGCCCUGCUUCCAGGAAAAGCCUCUAAGCAUCAGGUAACAUCAAAUCGUACCCCAAACCGACACAGGUGGUCAGGUAGAGAAUACCAAGGCGCUUGAGAGAACUCGGGUGAAGGAACUAGGCAAAAUGGUGCCGUAACUUCGGGAGAAGGCACGCUGGUGUGUAGGUGAAGUCCCUGCGGAUGGAGCUGAGACCAGUCGAAGAUACCAGCUGGCUGCAACUGUUUAUUAAAAACACAGCACUGUGCAAACACGAAAGUGGACGUAUACGGUGUGACGCCUGCCCGGUGCCGGAAGGUUAAUUGAUGGGGUUAUCCGUAAGGAGAAGCUCUUGAUCGAAGCCCCGGUAAACGGCGGCCGUAACUAUAACGGUCCUAAGGUAGCGAAAUUCCUUGUCGGGUAAGUUCCGACCUGCACGAAUGGCGUAAUGAUGGCCAGGCUGUCUCCACCCGAGACUCAGUGAAAUUGAACUCGCUGUGAAGAUGCAGUGUACCCGCGGCAAGACGGAAAGACCCCGUGAACCUUUACUAUAGCUUGACACUGAACAUUGAGCCUUGAUGUGUAGGAUAGGUGGGAGGCUUUGAAGCGUGGACGCCAGUCUGCGUGGAGCCAACCUUGAAAUACCACCCUUUAAUGUUUGAUGUUCUAACGUUGGCCCCUUACCGGGGUUGCGGACAGUGUCUGGUGGGUAGUUUGACUGGGGCGGUCUCCUCCCAAAGCGUAACGGAGGAGCACGAAGGUUAGCUAAUCCUGGUCGGACAUCAGGAGGUUAGUGCAAUGGCAUAAGCUAGCUUGACUGCGAGCGUGACGGCGCGAGCAGGUGCGAAAGCAGGUCAUAGUGAUCCGGUGGUUCUGAAUGGAAGGGCCAUCGCUCAACGGAUAAAAGGUACUCCGGGGAUAACAGGCUGAUACCGCCCAAGAGUUCAUAUCGACGGCGGUGUUUGGCACCUCGAUGUCGGCUCAUCACAUCCUGGGGCUGAAGUAGGUCCCAAGGGUAUGGCUGUUCGCCAUUUAAAGUGGUACGCGAGCUGGGUUUAGAACGUCGUGAGACAGUUCGGUCCCUAUCUGCCGUGGGCGCUGGAGAAUUGAGGGGGGCUGCUCCUAGUACGAGAGGACCGGAGUGGACGCAUCACUGGUGUUCGGGUUGUCAUGCCAAUGGCACUGCCCGGUAGCUAAAUGCGGAAGAGAUAAGUGCUGAAAGCAUCUAAGCACGAAACUUGCCCCGAGAUGAGUUCUCCCUGAGACUUUAAGUCUCCUGAAGGAACGUUAAAGACGAUGACGUUGAUAGGCCGGGUGUGUAAGCGCAGCGAUGCGUUGAGCUAACCGGUACUAAUGAACCGUGAGGCUUAACCUU
rnacentral:rRNA from 1 species